ACCCUUUCAGAAUCACAACCGGAGAAUUGCCAGUAGUCUUCCAGUCUUGGCUAUGAGAGGGAGAGUCAAGCAGAGACAUAGCCAUUCCAUUCCUAGCUUGGCUAGUGGCUAGCGAGUGGAAGGCCAUCUGCUACAAAU